rnacentral:rRNA from 1 species
CUGCUGCCUUCCGUAGGAGUUUGGACCGUGUCUCAGUUCCAAUGUGGGGGACCUUCCUCUCAGAACCCCUACGCAUCGUCGGCUUGGUGGGCCGUUGCCCCACCAACUACCUAAUGCGCCGCAUGCCCAUCCGUGACCGGGGUCGCCCCCUUUGGCCGGCAGGGGAUGUCCCCUCCCGGCAUUAUGUUGUAUUAGGCGGGAUUUCUCCCGGUUAUCCAUCUGUCACGGCCAGGUUGCAUACGUGUUACUCACCCGUGCGCCGGUCGCCGGCGA